rnacentral:lncRNA from 1 species
GUUAAUGACUUUCAGUCUGUGAGCUCCAUUUUGCUGGUCAUAAACUUCCUUUAUGAUGGUGAGCAGCACUGUUUUUGUUUACUUGGGAGAAACUGCAGCAGAGGGACAGAAAUGGGGAAUGAUUCAUCCGGGUUCUGUCAGUGAUGUGGUUACUGUGCCUUGUUGUUUCCUAACGGCUCGAACCUUACUGGUGUAAAGCUUGGCUCAGAGGUGUGACCUCAAGGAGUGUGUCCUUGUGCAGUAUUAAAAAACAACAAAUACUUUGAGUAAAACAAACAAAAAAACCCCUCAACUUCACAUUGAGCUCUUUCUCCUCCGUUGUCUUGAAAGGAGACGCUGACAUUUUUUCAUUUCCCCAGCCUCUCCUUUGGCUCUGGUGGUUUGGUUGGACAGCCUGCUAAACUUGUUCAACAGCUGUGAGAAGCUCUAGCAGCCAGACGAGGACCAGAAGUACAUAAGGUACAUGAUAGAUCACAGCAGACACGUUUGACCUUUGCUGAUAGAGUAACUGCUGAUUGUUCAGUCUUAAUAUAUAGCUUUAAUGUGUUUUUUUUUUUCCCCAUUUAAUUAUAUAAAGCUUUCUAGCUUUUUUAGGUCUGCCAGUGUUUAAUAUUGAUCCUUCUAGAGGUAGGAAUGGUGCUCCCCAAAGCAAUAGGUGGUGACAGGUAUACCAGCUGAAGAUCUACAAGUUGCCGUGGCUGCCCUAAGACUUCCACAGUUUGCACUGGCUGCGCUCACACAGGUGGUAGCACUUGAGUUUGCUUCUGUGAAGGGCAGAACCUGAGGGUGGGUUCUGCCUCCACCAGAGCUCUCUGUUGCUGCACUGCCACAGCCUGAAGGUUCUCUGCUCUAUUUGCCACAGGAGAUGGCAUCUUGGGCACACCGAUCCUUCCUCCCUCUAGCUUAGCAGACAGGCUCAGAAACUGCAAGAAGGUAAGAAGCUGGUGGGCUAUGCAUUGUGAGAAAUGAUUAGAAAACCGAAAUCCAAACCCCACCUGAUGGUGUCCAGAGGAAACCCUGUGGUGCUGGUUCCCAUUCAGCCUGCGUUGGUAGGCAGCACGUGUUUGCCAGUACACCUAAAGGCUUGGAGGAAUGUGUGAUAACAAGGGCGGGACGUCCAGCUUCUUAAUAACUAUGUUUUCUAAAAGUCUGUGGAUGGCACACAUUUGUUAUUAGUUUGGCAUGCUUAAAGAUAAGUAUGGUUCAGCUAAAUUUGGCUGGGAAUGGGAGGGAAUAAAUAAAGAGGUUUUAAAAUGAGGGGAGUCUGCCUGAAUGUGAUCUCAUGGGUGGGGUACAGUGAGCGGUGGCUUAGUGUUUUGAAAGCAUUGUGAAGUCUGACCAGGGGAGUGAUCGAUCUUUGGUGCCAGCUGGAUGUUUAGCAGAUGGACAGGUAGUUACAUUUCAUUUGUCUGGAGAACUUAGUCACAGGAGGUGACUAUGGACAGUACAGGGGUGCUUAUAGACGGUUGCUCUUCUGAGGCCGGAUGUCUCCAGAUGCUUUUGCUGUUCCAGCAGCCCCUAUGGGUACUGCUUCCCUGGCCGUGGAGCAGCAGAGCCUGUGGCACCGUCUUCUCUGUUGCACUGAGCUGCUGUUGGCUUAUGCAAAAUUCUGUAUAUUUUGAAUCUAACCCUUAUUUGCUCUAGUUUGAAGAUAAUAAGAAUGCUGAUCUUUUCUUUACACUUGCAAGUUAUAGCAGAGUUCUGAGUGGAAUGGGUGAGUGUGCCCCCUUCCUUGCUGCUGGGGUUGUAGGGAAGUCAUGGUUUGUCACAUUAUAGCUGUGCUCGGCCAGACUGAGGCGGGGGGGAGCUGGCAGCACUACAAGUCGCGGCCUGCAGCUGGGUUCUGACAGCACUGAGUGAAUGCAGAGGCUCUGGAUGGCUCACUGUGAGCCACAGACAGAUGUCUGCCUGUUCUCAGGGCCUCUCCUUGCUGAAGGUCAGAUCUUUCCAGAAACUGGGUCAGGUAGGCUAAAACGUGGGUGGGAGAAACCAAGUCACUGACUGCUCAGUGGGAAAGGCGGAGUAAAAUUUACCUUGACUAUUCUACGCUUAUCCUCCUGCCCCCCAAAUCUGUGCUUUGUGAUGGAAUUUAAAGCAUGGUCAAUGACUGUAGCCUAAUAACAGAUUUGAGAAAUGUUUUUUUUUUCCUUGAAAUAACAUAAAUCUACAACAGUGGAAAGUGGACUUUUGUCUGUGCCCAUAUUCUGGGGCUAAAUACUUUAGUCAGUGAUUUGGGCCAUUGUUCUGCUAAAAUAACUCUGAAUUUAAUACUGGGUUAAAAAGAACUGGGCUGUACCAAAAUGUGAAUUGCGCUCCUAGCCAGAACUUGGCCCCAAGCGUGGAAAAAUGCCAUGGGAUCUCUGAACCACCCCACUGGUCCUUACACUUGGAAUGAUGUGCUGUUCCACAGGUCUCCCUUUGAAGUUAGCAGAGGAGUCAGGGAGGCUCCUUUGUAACCUAAUUAAAUCUGACCCUAAAUGGUCACUACCAAGGGAUAUCAACCAGGAUGGAACACUUGCAAAUAAUGGUAUUAAACUUAGAGAGGGAUGCACCUAGACCUAUUUCUAAAGAAAAAUCUGAAGCUGCUCUGUGUAAUCAUUUUGGAAAUGUGGUGACUUCUGCACUGUAAAUCCAUUAUCCACUUAUUUCUAUAAAUCCAAUGCCAGCACAGGCUCUUCUGCGGGUAACCAUUAUACGGAAAUGAGCAAAUAUAUUUGUAGAUGAAUCUGUGGUUUUACAGCAAGAUUGAUCUACUCCCUCCCAUUCCAUCCAGUAUGAUUUAUAGUGGAACUUCACCAGAGUAACAUCUCGGGAAGAAUACUGAGAGCUACGAAACUCUCAUAGUGUGCUCUGACUCACUGGAGUGAUUGCUUUCAUGCUGCUGCUGAGUAAGUCAUGCAUUUAAAACAAAGACAAAGCUGAAGUUUCCCACUCUGGUGUUUGAUUCUGCUGGCUUGUUUUUUAACCUAUAAUUUUUUGUGUGUGUGAUUGUAUUUUGUCUGGUACAUGAACAUACAACUACUUUUCUUUAGGCUAACUCGUUGAUCUUGGUUAUCUUAGUAGUGGGAACAUGAAGAAAUAUAUUCUGUUUCUCAGUGGUUAGAAGCCUUGCUGAAUUGUGUUAGUGGUCACAAGUGCUGCUUCAGUUAAGGCAUACUGUGUACGUAGGUGCAGCUGAAAUGUGUUGUUCAAUACCUUUCUUCUUGGGCAACAACAAAGCUGAAUAGCCUACUUCAGCAUCAGGAAUCCAUUUCAAAAACUGAGAUAGCUGGGAUCUCUUUGAGCCAGUCUGUGUUCACCUAGUGCCACGGUUCCUAUUUAAAUCAACAAGCGCAAGAUAUUCUGACUGAAGGGAAAGAACAGAAUAUUUACUUGGCUUCAAGUAAAGGAAAAGGUUGCAUUUUCAAAAGGGGGCUCAGGCUGCUGAAUACUUACGUUUUUGUGAGGUUAGCCAUUCUUUUUUUGCUUCUAUGUGAUGAAACAGUAAAACAAAGAUUGAGUUGAAUACUUAUUUGCUUCCCAUGAUUUUGAUCGUGGAAGUUUCUUAGGACUUAAACCAGUUUGUCUGCUGCUCAGGUUUGCGUUGCAGGAACCUCUGAUGAAGCUACAGAAAGCAGGUAUCCAGGAAACCCUUUCAAGUAGUCUGCGUGCUAAGCUUCAAAUUCAUCUCUGUAACCGUAUCUGUUUACUUUUUCCUUUUAGAACAAUAUCUCCUGUAAGAUAGUCACCUUACUUCCUUCUAAAAAGAUGGGAGUGGUAGAUGGGUACUUCAUAUUUCGACUUAUGCAUGCAUGCUUGCAGCUUUUAUUCUUCCUUUCAUUGACUCUCUCAAGAUUUGGCACAAUAAGAGCAUUAUGUAAGACUAAAUCAUUCUCACAUAAUUUUGAGUGAAUGCCUUUCAUGAAGUACUGGGUGCCCAUCAUGACUGUAAGUAAAAAUGAAUCAUUUCCUUUUUAAAUGGAAGUUUUAAAGCUAACAUUUUAUGUAGUUAAUUGCCACAAGCCAAAAUAACCUUUUGAGCUCUCUGAAUUUUCACAGCUGCUAACUGGAGGAAACAACCCACACUGAUGGAACAGAAACUUAAGCAUUUCUAAGAAAUUAUUCCCCACUCCAGCUUCCUCUUUUAGCAUAAUGCCCAGCUCACUUUUGCUACGCCAUUAGCACUUCUCUGUAGAGAAAAACCUGAGUAUCAUCUAAAGGACAGAAUUACGAAGAAUAAAGCAAGGACAGUAUGAAUGCAAAGAUGACCCUUCAAAAGCACAGAGAGCAGUUAACAGCUCAGUCAACAUAGGUGACUACACUGUUACUAGAAGCCAGCAGACUGAGUAGGUGCAAGGCUCCACAGUUCAGUAACGGAACUGUGAAGAGCUCUCUCUAUUUUCCAGUAGACAGGGAAAUUCAGGGAUGUAUGCUGUACAUGCUUUUAAGAUAAGAGAAUAAAUCUCUGUAUUACAAGGCAAGGUUAAUAUGUGAAAUAAGAAUCAGCAAAUAGAGAAUAGGAUCAAAACUGGGAGAUCUGUUGGAAAUACGGGACAGACAGUGCAGGGAAAGACAAGAGGCUAUAGAAACAGCUGGGGCUGCAGGCAUGAAACCCAGGUAUGCUGGAGGAGAAUUUUUUUGGUCUGUCACACUCUUCCACUGUAGGGUAGUUAUUGCCUGCUACAAGAGUGAGGUCCUUGCUUCAAGCAAGACACACAAGAGCAGGAGUGCAGGGCCUGGUGCUGGAGGAAGCUUGUGUGAAAACAGCAGGCUGGCAGCAGGAAGACAUGGAAAGAAAGAGGGUGGGUGAAAAUCAGAAACUCACUGGGCAGUCAUGGUAAGGAGGAGGAGAUAGGAAAUACUGAGAGAGAAGCAGAGAGAAAUAUUUGCUAAAUAUCAAAUGAAGCGAACAGUCCUUCUGGUGAGUGGUAGAGAGGAUCUGGCAAGGACACAGCUAAAAUAUUCUGUUGAAAAUAGCACAGUAAAUCAUCAAUGCAGGAACAAAAAUUCAUUUUUGGCUAACGUAGGAACAGAAGUGUGGGAUACAGUCAAUAUUUUAAAAGACCAGUGGAUGGCAGCAUAUUUUUGCUACGGUUGUCACGCCAUAUGUUCUGGUUGCAGCUCAUAUGCUGACUUGAGCAUCGCAUGUCAGACACAACAUGGAUUUAUUCUUGGGACAAGUUAGUACCAGCUGCAAAGAUCUGUGCUUUUUUUUUGGUAGAGUUUGAAUUUGGUUUGGCAGAGGCAGCAGUAACCGCUCUUGUAGCUGUCCCAGUGCUGAAUCAUGUGGGAGAUGGGCAAUGUGUUUCACUGCUACCUUUGUAAUGGAUAGGAGUGGAACAUAAAAGAAAGAGGAUGAUAUCAUGACUAAGCGGUACCCACCUUCUAAAAGUUUAUAGGGAUGUUUCAGAGAACAAAAACUCAGAAAGCCAGGCCUACAGAAUCACCCUCAGAGCAUCGAAUCCUGCUGGUUUAGUGUGAGUUGGGUCUCUAGAUUAUUAUUCUGGUUCUGCUAUGAAGCUGAUAAUUUCUUCCACAAGUUUUGGGGUGUAAACUGUAAAGAAAAUAAAUCUCUUGAGAUAUAAAGUUAUAUAUGAAGAAUAAAAUUGGGUACCAAUUCAGGCUAUGGUCUAACACCCAUCCAUCCAAAAACUGGUGAGCAUGAAGUAGUUAAAGGAUUAAACUGAAAAGUAAAAAAGCACUAUUCUUGCUUGUUGUAUUUAUUUGCUCUAAGUGGGGGGGGAAAAGCUGACAAGUCAUAAGAGAUUUGUCUGUGCAUGUAAAUUGCAAAUGAGAAAGAAAAGCAUUUUAAAAGAGCAGUUUAUAAAUUUAUUUGAUAGAGAGAAUCCCAAUAAAUUUGUGAAAAUUACAGGUCUUGAAAAACUCUUCCUUCUACUUCAUGUUCUCUGAAGCAAAACACUUGAUGCAAAGCACACCUGACAUCUGACUAGCACAUACCUCAGAGGUUUUCUAUGCAGUCUUCACUAAAGUGUGCUUACCAAAUGUUUUGCAGCACCAGAACAUGAGUUCCUCCAUCAGCUUCAAAGCCUGUGAACUACAUACUCAUGGUCAACAAUACUUCUAAAAAAGAGAGAUUGCAAAUACAAAAAAGAAGAGGGUGUUAGCAGUCAAGGUUCUCUGGGAGAUGUUACAUUGCUUUUGGUUGUGAAAUGUUUACAAAGAGCAGCACAGAAGAACAUGGUAACCAUUUCAAUUAUCUGAAGCUUUUAAAUUUAAAGGGUGUUUGUAUAAAAAAAAAUGGUCCAAUUAUAACAAAAUUAUAUUUGCACAACGAAGUUGGAAACAAAGCAUUUUGUUAGUGAUAAAUGCACCAAGAACUGAAAUAUAAGACAAGCUCUUUUGUUUGUCAAUUUGUCAGAUGUGUUCUGAAGCUUCCCUUCCAAUUACAAGCUGUUUAGUACAGCACAAAAGGUAUUUUAAAAUUAACAUAGAAACUGGAAUGUUUUUUCAAUUGUAGCACAUUUCAUCUGAGAUGAUUACCAUGAAAAGACCUGAAAAGGGAACACAAAAGCAAUGAUUUAUAGACGCUCUAAUUUUUCACUUAGAAACUCUUCCACGCUGUCUGUAUUCCACUUGAGGAUGCUCAGUUCUUCUGCAAUGUUCCCACUGUCGUCCAGCAGCUUCAGUACAGGGUCAGAACCACGCACGUACUUGAUUUGCAGUCCCCUGAAGAGCUUAGGCUUGUCACUCCUGACAAAAGCCUGGACUUGAGGGAACCUUCCCAAUUUUCAUCCACAUACUUCUAGGACAGCUCCUGCAUAAAGCUUUCUGGUUUCCAGCUGAGCUUCUUCUUGGCAGCACUGCCUACAGAAUGGAUCCAACUGAUUCAGACUGAACUGUCCAAGAAGGUUGCAGGAGCUGCAGAGCAAGUUACUGGAGAAGCCAAGUUCCCUGCAAGCUUCUGAUGACAGCUGUGCUCCAUAUACAUUUAUCGCGGGCAGCCCCAGCAGCAGGCAGAGCCAGCAGCGCACCAGGGCGGCCAACUCGGCGGCCGCCGCCAUCUUGGUACCGAGCUGCCGGCAGCGCGGCGGGCGGGCCGAGCGGGGACCUCGGGCGCUGCGGGUGCCCCGCGCUGCCUGGUGCGGGACGGCGGGCCGGAUCGCAAACGGCCGGCGAGAACGGCCAACGCGGGGCGUCUGCGGGGAACCCGCAGCGACGCUAUUUCAGUCUGCUCAGUACUGUGCUUCACAGCCGGGCUAGCGGGGGAGAUUCUUCCCGGCCCCGGUCCGGCACACACACCGCCGCCCCAGGGCAAAGC